AAAACUUUCAACAAUGGAUCUCUUGGUUCCGGCAUCGAUGAAGAACGCAGCGAAAUGCGAUAAUUAAUGUGAAUUGCAGAAUUCAGUGAAUCAUCGAGUCUUUGAACGCACAUUGCACCCCCUGGUAUUCCGGGGGGUAUGCCUGUCCGAGCGUCAUU
rnacentral:rRNA from 6 species